CAGCCGCCGCGGGAAAACAGAGGGUGCAAGCGUUAAUCGGAAUUACUGGACGUAAAGCGCGCGUAGGUGGUUUGUUAAGUUGGAUGUGAAAGCCCCGGGCUCAACCUAGGAACUGCAUCCAAAACUGGGAAGCUAGAGUACGGUAGAGGGUGGUGGAAUUUCCUGUGUAGCGGUGAAAUGCGUAGAUAUAUGAAGGAACACCAAUGGCGAAGGCGACCACCUGGACUGAUACUGACACUGAGGUGCGAAAGCGUGGGGAGCAAACAGGAUUAGAUACCCGUGUAGUCCCUGUCUCUUAUAC
rnacentral:rRNA from 1 species